UGGCGGCGUGCCUAACACAUGCAAGUCGAACGAAGCACUGUGGAUAGAGACUUCGGUCAAUUGAAGCUUUGACUUAGUGGCGGACGGGUGAGUAACGCGUGAGGAACCUGCCUUUCAGAGGGGGACAACAGUUGGAAACGACUGCUAAUACCGCAUGACACAGCGAGAUCGCAUGGUCUUGCUGUCAAAGAUUUAUCGCUGAAAGAUGGCCUCGCGUCUGAUUAGAUAGUUGGUGAGGUAACGGCCCACCAAGUCGACGAUCAGUAGCCGGACUGAGAGGUUGAACGGCCACAUUGGGACUGAGAUACGGCCCAGACUCCUACGGGAGGCAGCAGUGGGGAAUAUUGGGCAAUGGGGGAAACCCUGACCCAGCAACGCCGCGUGAAGGAAGAAGGCUUUCGGGUUGUAAACUUCUUUUACCAGGGACGAAGAACGUGACGGUACCUGGAGAAAAAGCCACGGCUAACUACGUG
rnacentral:rRNA from 1 species